GGAUGAAGAACGCAGCGAAAUGCGAUACUUGGUGUGAAUUGCAGAAUCCCGUGAACCAUCGAGUCUUUGAACGCAAGUUGCGCCCGAAGCCGUCAGGCCGAGGGCACGCCUGCCUGGGCGUCACACGCCGUUGCCCCCCGCGCCCCGCACCCAACUCUUUGGGAGCGACCGCGGGGCGGGCUGAUGAUGGCCUCCCGUGCGCUCCGCCGCGCGGUUGGCCCAAAUACCGAGUCCCCGGCGACGUGCGCCACGACGAUCGGUGGUUGAGAGACCUCUGUCGCAAGUCGUGCGCGCCCGUCGCGUCACGCGGGCUCGCAUAGCGCCUCGCGCCGCACCCGGUGCGGAGCUUUCAACGCGACCCCAGGUCAGGCGGGGUUACCCGCUGAAUUUAAGCAUAUCAAUAAGCGGAGGA
rnacentral:misc_RNA from 1 species